CGUCGCUGCGCAGGUGGGAGCGCAAAGGAAAGCACCGAGACGUGCGAGUGGCCAGGCGCGCUCCUCUCCGCGCGGUCGGAGCCGGGGGCUGAAGACCACUCGGCAGAGAGCCCCGCGGCAUCGGGGGCACCGUACUCUUUUGUUUGUUUGUCGUCGUUGUUGUGUAUUUCCUAAAGAACAAAACACAGACCCGAAGCGUACCCCGGGGAUUAACGUGUGAGCAAAACUGCCUGCGUUUAUCGACAGCGUAUCUUAACUGAUGCCACCUCGUAGCGCUGUAAAUAAAAAGUCUGCAUAAUACCGUGAAGAUUCCAUCUUUUAGAGUACUCGGAAUCUGAUGUGUUUGAGUUCUGUCCCAAAAAACCUCUCGGAGAAUCAGACAGCUUGUGAAUGCAGCAGCUUGGAAUUCAGGUCUUCCUGCGCAGGUCUUCCCCUGCUCCUUUCCAGAGCUUUAAGGACACUGACCCUGCCUCCAAACCCAGGAGAUCUGCCUCUUAAACGCUACUGGCACAGCCGGCACGGGGAGCAGGAGGGGUUCGCAUUGACAGGAUUCCAGGCAAAAGCCGGAGUUAAAGAGCACAGCGGCCCCUUCCUCCUUGGUUCUCAUCUAUUUAAAACUGCUCUAAAAUAGAUCUUUUAAAUAGAUGAGAGACGGGAGCUUUCUGUAGCUGCAGAGUAAGGGAGCCACAUCGACAACAAAGGCUCCCGCCUCUGUGCCUCAGUGCCCUGAGCUCAAACCGCUGCUCGAGGAGAAAAUGGCACCGGGGGCUCAAAAAUCCCCACGGGGCUACACUGGAGCCUGAGCUCCAGAGGUUCGGAAGGAAACUGAAGAAGAAGUAGAUCCACCUUGAAAAUAACUCAGAAAUGAGCUGCUGAGACCGCUGGCUCCUCCCUCGGCGAAUGUGUACGUCUGCGGUGUUGUCUUUAACACCCCGAUCAGCUGAACUGCUCACUCUUCCAACGGAUGAUUACUGUCAAUCCUAAGCACGCCAAAUAUUUUUACAGUGUUUGGGGAACCAAAAAAAAAAAAUACCUUGAAACCAGAGAAGUGGUGAGAAGACUGAGUGAGCGGCGUGACACUGAUGUGGUGCUCGGGAUUGCUGCUCUGCACAAGGCCGCUGUCCUUCAGAAGUUUUCCGGCAUGAGAUCACGACUACUUGUGUGGCUGGGUUUGUUGUACAGAGGGCAAAAGCUGCAUCAUUCCACAGCAGGAGCCGAGUGCUUUUAAGAAAUGUUGGCUUUAAGUCACGUCACGCAGAGGGCAAGGGCGGUGUAUCACCGGCUACUGUGCAGCAAAUGGUGAGGGACCGCAAGAGAAACAGAUCCACGAAGGUGGAUGCCUUGCAAACAGUGAUCCGGGUUCAGAAACGCUACUGAAAAAAUUGAUACUGUAAGGGUAAUACAGUGACCCUCAACUUAGCCACAGAGGCUGCUCAGGAGAGGCUAUCUCUAGGUGUGAGCUGAGGAAGCACCUGCCAACAGGCUGCUUUGGUCAGGAAAAUCCUCCGGCACAUUGAAUAUACCUACCUGAUCGGAAUGCUCAGAAGGCUUCACAGCAGACAACGAAGAAAAAAAAUGCUUUGGUUAUCACAGAAGAACUUUGUGGAGGGUGAGAGGAAAGGAAGAAAUUGCCUACGAACAGACACUGGAGAGUGUUUUCUUCAGAGGACUACAGCUCCCAGAUGCUUCUGCUCCUUUCUGCUGCUCUAAGUUCUGCAGUUACUCAUCACUUGACUCUAAGCUGUUCCAGUCUGUUAUUCUGUAUCACAAUACAUGUUGAAUUGGUGGCAUCACAUUCCAUUCCAGCAAAAGUGACUGAAAACCCUUCCUGUCUCAUAGGCAGUGGGUGUUCUACUUUUCUUUCAAGUCCCCCUUUCUUCUCCCCUUCUCCCUCUGCCUCUCUUCACUCCACCAUGCAGUCACCACUUCUGCCAUCCCUGAGCAGCCAUGCAAGACAAGCACAAACUGUCUGGAGGGCUGAAAAUGGAAGACGCAGCAGAUGGAAACACCAAAAUCAUCCUUUUCUGUAGGCUCUCUGAAAGCAGAGAUGCAAGAGAAUUUUGUACACUGCUUUUUUGGUUUUCUUUUCCUUUUUUUUUUUCUUUUUGUGACUUGACACAGAUAUACCUGCUCGAUCUGGAUGCUCAGAAGGCUCCACAGCAGACAAUGAAGAAAACAUGUAGCUGUAGAUGUCCCUGUUUAUUGCAGGGCAGUUGGACUAGAUAACCUUUAAAGGUCCCUUCCAACGUAAACAAUUCUACGAUUGUAUGACUUCUGAGAUUUCUAACUGAUUUUAAAACUUUAAGUGAUCUUUAUGCUGUUAGUAAAUUCUUUUAAAAUUAUAAGGAAGUAGUGCUACAUAAAGUGAAACUGUCAAAGACUUCACACAUUGAUUUGGCAAGCUAGGAUUGUCAGCAGUACUCACCUGUAUGUCACAACCAGGGACACCUGUUAGAAAGAGAGGUGCCACCGCUGUGUUAACACACACGUAGAUGACUGUAUCACCAAGGAGGCUGUGCAGCCUGAGACCUGCCACAGUCAUGCUGGGCUUAAGUGGGAAUUUGUUGAAAAGAAGAUAAUGGGUGGUUCUGGGCACCACUGAGGCAUAUGCAGGGCAGUAAAGUAGACAAUGGCAAUCUUAGAGACCCAGAGAUGCAACAGACCAUCCAUCUCUGGUCAUUUCUGUCACAUGAAAAAGCAAACUUAAGUAAUCUCUGAAUUUUCUGAGCAUGGACAGCAUCUCAGAAAAAAUCACAAAUGCUGAACAAUUCUGAAGUAUGUUUUAACUCUGUUGGAUUUCUGAUCAAGAAUUGAAGUACAAAGAUACAUUGCUAGUAAGUAAAAUGCUUGCUGUUAUAUCUCUGCGUCUAUUUCGUACAUUAGAACUUGGAUUUUCCUCAAGCAUGUCUUAAAACUAGAAGGAAGGAUCCAUUUUUACUGUAAUCAAUUACUCACCUGAUUUACAUUCCAUGUUGGUUAGAAUUCAAGGAGUGAUGGAGCCCUAUGUCCCCAGCUGGCUCAUGCUUACUAUAGACAAGUGAUCACAUUUGGUCCUUGUCAGGCUUAAGAAUUCAGUUAUCCAAAAUUCAGUCAUGACAAUUCAUUUCAAACAGCAGUUAUAGCUACACUUUAAUCAGAACUGGCAAUGGAAGCAACAUAUUUUCUGACUGUACAAUUACUGAUCACUUUAGGCCUAUGUAAAGCAGGAAAAUAAAUUAAUUACAAAUUUGCUUCAGAAUACUACACCAAAGAUUUAAUAUAAACUGAUUUUUCCCAUUUGCCGGAUGUUAACAGGAUCGCUGGUGAAUUUGCACAGGUGAUUAAGCUCUUUGAGGGUAAAUCUUAUAAGAAAAAUAUUUUAAAAUAUGAUUUAUUAUUUUUAACUACUUCAAUUGAAAGCAAUAAAAUUCUCUGCUCGGUGUUUAA
ensembl:lncRNA